CCACUUCCCCUCCCCACACCCCGCUCCUCCCUCUGCCCCCCGAUUGGAUCGGGGGGAUCGACCCCAUCGAUCGAUCGCCGUCGCCGCCCGGAUCGGUCGCCGCCCCGUCGUCCUCGACUCCACCUCGCCGGACCGCCUCCUCAUCUCCGGCAACGCACGCGUCCCCGUCCUCCUCCUCGACAACCGCUGCCAUUGCCCUACGCGCCGUCGUGAGGACCCCCUCCUCUCCCCUCUCCCCCGGCCGAUGCGUGACCCUGGCCAUCGCCUACCGCACCCCGACGCACUCGCGCCCCUGCUCACCGCGGCCUCGCCCCGUGCCCCACCUCCGCCUCUGGCCCCGCGGGCCAUCGCCGCGACGACGGCCAACUCCGGCGCCCACCCCGGGCUCUUUCCUUCCCGCAGUGAGCCUCGCUUCUUUUCCUCUCCCUCGCGCGACACCACCUACCGGCGCUGCGCGCUCGCGCGCCUCGCGCUCGUCGCCGUGGCCACCGCGCGUGUGCGCCCCGCGCACGCCCGUUGGCGCGCCGCCCCGAUGCUCCCGUGUCCAGGACUGUGCCCCCCUCUCUGCCGCUCGCGGCCGCCGAACCCCCACGCCCGAUGGCCGACACGCGCGCCGUCCCGCCCGCGCGCGCUCUGCCCGCUGCUACCCGCCUGACGCCGCCGCCUACGCCCUGCUCGCCGGCGCUCCCGCUCGGGCGACGCCGCGCCCGAUCUCGCCCCUGUCGGGCGCCCGCUCCUGGCGUCCGCACCCGUUCGCGCACCCGCGUCCAAACCGGCUAGGCCUCCCCUGGGCCACUGAACAAAGGGCCCCAGCCCAUGGAACAUUAAUGAAAAAAAGAGAAAAAAAAUGAAUUAAUAAAAAUAAAAAUAAUUAAUUAAUUAAAGAUUUAAUAAAUCAUAAUUAGAUUAAUCUAAUCACUAAUUAAUCUAAAUUAAUCCUGAUUAGUUAGUCUCAGUCAAUGACAGCAAGGACCCACACGUCAGUUUGACCCAGUCAACGCCCUAUUGACGUCAUGCUGACGUUAUCUUACACUAUUCUGGAUAAUGUUGAUUUAAAUUGAUUAAAUAAAUCCUGAAAUGUAUUAAAUCUUUUAAAAUUAAUAUAAAAUAAACCGUAGCUCGGAUGGGAAAACUUUGUACAUGAAAGUUGCUCAGAACGACGAGACGAAUACGCAGCCCGUUUGUCUGCCACACAUCCCUAGCAUAGCGAACCUACAACAUUUCACCUUCGGUUCUUCUGUCUGAAAAUGCGAAAUGCCGGGGAUACUUUCCCGGAUGUUUCCCCCUUUCGUCGGUAUCACCUACUACCGUGUUGGGGCACACCUAACACCUCGUAUUGUCUUGUUACGCUUUGUGAUGCUUUGAUUGCUCUGUUAUUUAUUGUGUUCCCUCUCUGUUACUUCUUUCCGAUAGACCCCGAGACUGCCGGGGACCCCAGUUCGACUACGGUGUUGACGACUCAUCCUUCUUGCCAGAACAACCAGGCAAGCCCCCCCUCUUUGAUCACCAGAUAUCGCCUAUUCUUCUCUCUACUGCUUGCAUUAGAGUAGUGUAGCAUGUUACUGUUCGGUUACUCCUAUUCUGUUGCAUAGCCUGUCAUUGUUGCUACAGUCAUUGAUACCUUACCCGCAAUACUAAAUGCCUAGUAUAAGAUGCUAGUUUAUCAUCAUUGGCCCUGCAUUUUUGUCAGUCUGCCUUGCUAUACUAUCGGGCCGUGAUCACUCGGGAGGUGAUCACGGGUAUAUAUUAUACAUAUAUACAUACUAUAUAGAUGGUGACUAAAGUCAGGUUGGCUCGUUGAGUACCCGCAAGUGAUUCCGAUGUGGGGGCUGGAAGGACAUGUGGCUCCAUCCCGGUAGAGGUGGGCCUGGGUUCCCGACGGCCCCCGACUGUUACUUUGUGGCGGAGCGACAGGGCAGGUUGAGACCACCUAGGAUAGAGGUGGGCCUGGCCUUGGUCGGCGUUCGCGGUUACUUCAUAAUAACACGCUUAACGAGAUCUUGGUAUUUGAUCUGAGUCUGGCCACUGGCCUAUAUGCAGUAACCAACUACGCGGGAAAGAUAUGGGCACUCGACGUCGUGGUAUCAGCCAAAGCCUUCGUGACGUCAACGACUGAGCGGCGCGCGUCGGAUUGGAACGUAAGCCUGCUCUUGUAUUAAGGGGGCUAGUUCUGCUUCCGGCUGCGUACGCAACGUGCAGGUGUGCAAUGGGCGAUGGGCCUAGACCCUUGCGCGCAUAGGAUUUAGACCGGCGUGCUGACCUCUCUGUUGUGUCUAGGUGGGGCUGCGACGUGUUGAUCUUUCGAGGACGGGCAUGACCCAGGAAAGCGUGUCCGGCCAAAUGGGAUCGAGCGUGUUGGGUUAUGUGGUGCACCCCUACAGGGAAGUUUAUCUAUUCGAAUAGCCGUGUCCCUCGGUAAAAGGACGACCCAGAGUUGUACCUUGACCUUAUGACAACUAGAACCGGAUACUUAAUAAAACACACCCAGACAAGUUCCAUAGACAACCCGGUGAUCGCUUUUCCACAGGGCGACGAGGGGAGGAUCGCCGGGUAGGAUUAUGCUAUGCGAUGCUACUUGGAGGACUUCAAUCUACUCUCUUCUACAUGCUGCAAGACGGAGGCUGCCGGAAGCGUAGUCUUUGAUAGGACUAGCUAUCCCCCUAUUAUUUUGGCAUUGUGCAGUUCAGUCCACCGAUAUUGCCUCUUUACACAUAUGUAGUGUAGAUCCUUGCUUGCGAGUACUUUGGAUGAGUACUCACGGUUGCUUUGCUCCCUCUUUCCCCCCAUUUUCCUCUUCUUCUCGGAUGCUGCAACCAGACGUUGGAGCCCAGGAGCCAGACGCCACUGUCGAUGAUGACUACUACACUUGAGGUGCCUACUACUACGUGCAGGCUGCUGAUGACGACCAGGAGUAGUUAGGAGGAUCCCAGGUAGGAGGCCUGUGCCUCUUUCGAUCUGUAUCCCAGUUUGUGCUAGCCAUCUUAUGGCAACUUGUUUAACUUAUGUCUGUACUCAGAUAUUGUUGCUUCCGCUGACUUGUCUAUGAUCGAGCACUUGUAUUCGAGUCCUCGAGGCCCUUGGCUUGUAAUAUGAUGCUUGUAUGACUUAUUUAUGUUUUUAGAGUUGUGUUGUGAUAUAUUCCCGUGAGUCCCUGAUCUUGAUCGUAAAUGUUUGUGUGCAUGAUUAGUGUACGAUUGAAUCGGGGGCGUCACACCCCCCUCCCUGCUGCGGCUGGUUCUUCCUUAACUCCGGCGAGCCCCCCACCCCCUGAAAAUCGACUGACCCAAAAGUCGAUUCAGUCGACUGAAGUGUAGCUAAAUCGGAGCAGCAUCGCAAGCAAGAGCAAGAGCGAGAGCAGCAGCGUGAGCAAGAGCAAUAGCAAGAGCAGACCAGACAAGAGACCGAGAGCAAGAGCAGAGCAGCAGCGCGAGCGAGAGCUAAAGUAGUAGCAGCUCCUACUGAUGUGGACAUCACCGCCGAGGAAGCGACGCCAUGGAGGAAGUGGCCGGCGACGCCGCCGUGGAUGGAGCCGCGCCGUGUCGGCUCAGAACCAAGCACCGGCAGCACCGUGAGAUCGAAUCAAGAAGAAAAUGCGGCGAUUAGUGUACAACCUCUUUCGUGGCGCCGGUUAGGCCGCAACUUCAUCCGAGGAAACGGUGAUGAUGAUGCUCUUCUGGUGGUGCAGGUGAAGACGACAGUGUGGGAAUGAAGGUGGCGCGAAAGACGAGGGAACGUCGGGGCAGCUCCUUGGAGGUGGAGGACGGGGUGGCUGAACCGGCGGGACGACCAGAUCGACGAUGGAUCGUCAUCCGGUACGAUGGAUGAGGGACGUCGAGGUGUUGUUGUGGACGACGACGUCGAGGAAGAGGCUCCAGCUGGGUGGCAGAUGGAGAUGGGUGUGGGGCUUCACGGGUUUCGUGGCCUCGGUGUAUGAAUAGGUGGGCGGAUGGGAUGGGAGUGGGGAACCAUGGCUUAGGGACACGCUUGUUCGAAAUGUGGGGUAAGUUAUGAAAGUACCCCCACCGAUUUGAGGUGUUCUUUCGGUUCAGGGGUACACUAGUAGGGAAAAGCCUAUACACAGAAUCUUAGCAGCAGCGCAACUCAAAAAGGAGCGCUGCUGCUAAUUAGUAGUAGCGCGUGUGCAGGAAACUCACUACUGAUAAGUUUUUAGCAGUAGCACGCUCUGUGUAUACCGCGCUGCUACAAAUAUCGACCGACGGUGUUCACCUAACUCCAUUUAGCAGUAGUGCGGUGGCGCGAACCACGUUACUGCUACGGAUGUAGUAGUAGCGCGCUUUUACUGAGAUCGCUGCUGCUAAAUUUCAAAUUGGCACACUUUUUUGUCCCUAUUAGCAGUAGCGCCGUCGCCCAAAGCGCGCUGCUGCUAAUUGCUUAUCAGCAGCGCGUUUUUGCUCCUGCGCUACUGCUAACCCGCACCAACCCACCACCUUUUCCCCACCCGUCCCUCCCCUCCCCCUCAUCUCUUCCCUUCCCCCUACCUCCCCCACAUGCUCCCACUCUCACUCUUCUUCUUCCUUAAUACUUCUUCCCCAUUACUCUCUCUCUUCUAUCCACCUUUCUCUCUCUUCAUUACUCCUACCUAACUACACCACCUCCAUUAAUGCAUCUCCUUUCUCUUUUUCCUUUCCCCUCCACUAGUUGAAGUUGUCUCCUCCCAAAUUAGGUAGCUAGGUAGAUGUAGGAUUUAGUUAAGUGACCUAUUUGCCCCCUAACUAGAUCUAUCUUUGUCAAGAAGAGCUUUGUGCACUUUUGAUCUCCCUACAACAUCAUCUCCACCGUGUGGUCGAUCUCGAUCAAGAUAGAGGUGAUGAAAAUUUCAUGCUUUUGCAAAAUGGAAAUAUGUUUAUGUGUGUGUGAUAUGUUUGUGGAAAUUGUGUGUGUGGCAUGAGUUGACGCCAAAUUGUGCUUUGGAGUUGCCUAUGUUUUGCCGAAAUGUCGAUUUAUUUCCGUUUCAGCGAAUUCCGGGCAAACUCUAGAUCCAUAUAUGUCCUAUUUUUAGGGAAGGUCAUGCCAAUUUUUUGUAUGACUUUGAUGCAUGCAUGCAUUUUUAUAAUCAAUUUGUUUAUUAUUACCGUGCAAGCAAAUGCCCGGAUUGAGAGAUAUGAAGUCUCCAAUAAGUUCUAUAGCUGCAAGAUGGAAGAGAAUAGUUCUGUCAGUGAACAUAUACUCAAAAUGUCUUGGUAUAAUAAUCACUUGAUUCAACUGGGAGUUAAUCUUCCUGAUGAUACUGUCAUUGACAGGAUUCUUCAAUCACUGCCAC
rnacentral:lncRNA from 1 species